rnacentral:rRNA from 1 species
CCUACGGGUGGCAGCAGUGAGGAAUAUUGGUCAAUGGGCGGGAGCCUGAACCAGCCAAGCCGCGUGAGGGAAGAAGGUACAGCGUAUCGUAAACCUCUUUUGUCAGGGAACAAAGGCGGGGACUAGUCCCCGGAUGAGGGUACCUGAAGAAAAAGCAUCGGCUAACUCCGUACCAGCAGCCGCGGUAAUACGGAGGAUGCGAGCGUUAUCCGGAUUUAUUGGGUUUAAAGGGUGCGCAGGCGGCCUGUUAAGUCAGCGGGAAAAGCCCGGGGCUCAACCCCGGCGAGCCGUUGAAACUGGCGGGCUGGAGUUGGAGAGAAGUACGCGGAAUGCGCGGUGUAGCGGUGAAAUGCUGAGAUAUCGCGCAGAACCCCGAUUGCGAAGGCAGCGUACCGGCUCCACACUGACGCUGAGGCACGAAAGCGUGGGUAUCGAACAGGAUUAGAUACCCGAGUAGUC